CGGCGUGCCGCACACCGUCAACCAUGCGGCUUCCGGCGCUCUGCGCCGGAACGGAAAGG
rfam:Firmicutes bacterium CAG:83 genomic scaffold, scf70